GAUGAACGCUGACGGCGUGCCUAAUACAUGCAAGUCGAGCGAACGGACGAGAAGCUUGCUUCUCUGAUGUUAGCGGCGGACGGGUGAGUAACACGUGGAUAACCUACCUAUAAGACUGGGAUAACUUCGGGAAACCGGAGCUAAUACCGGAUAAUAUUUUGAACCGCAUGGUUCAAAAGUGAAAGACGGUCUUGCUGUCACUUAUAGAUGGAUCCGCGCUGCAUUAGCUAGUUGGUAAGGUAACGGCUUACCAAGGCAACGAUGCAUAGCCGACCUGAGAGGGUGAUCGGCCACACUGGAACUGAGACACGGUCCAGACUCCUACGGGAGGCAGCAGUAGGGAAUCUUCCGCAAUGGGCGAAAGCCUGACGGAGCAACGCCGCGUGAGUGAUGAGGGUCUUCGGAUCGUAAAACUCUGUUAUUAGGGAAGAACAUAUGUGUAAGUAACUGUGCACAUCUUGACGGUACCUAAUCAGAAAGCCACGGCUAACUACGUG
rnacentral:rRNA from 1 species